GGAACCAGAAAUAAAACACGAAGAACCAGAAACCUGGAGAAUAAAACACGAGGAACAAGGAGAGUUCAUUGAAGAAAAAGAGGAGAAUGAAGAAUCAAGUGAAGUUGAGGA